GAACGAACGCUGGCGGCGUGGAUAAGACAUGCAAGUCGAACGGGACAUCAUGAGUAGCAAUACAAGUGAUGUCUAGUGGCGAACGGGUGCGUAACACGUGGAUACAUUCCGGGAAGCGGGGGAUAGCCCAGGGAAACUUGGAUUAAUACCGCAUGUGAUCGAGAGAUCAAAGACGGGGACCGCAAGGCCUGUCACUUCCCGAUUGGUCCGCGGCCUAUCAGCUAGUUGGCGGGGUAAAAGCCCACCAAGGCUACGACGGGUAGCUGGUCUUAGAGGACGACCAGCCACACUGGAACUGAGACACGGUCCAGACACCUACGGGUGGCAGCAGUCGAGAAUCUUUCACAAUGGGGGCAACCCUGAUGGAGCGACGCCGCGUGGAGGAUAAGGUCUUCGGAUUGUAAACUCCUGUCAU
rnacentral:rRNA from 1 species